rnacentral:lncRNA from 1 species
UAGUUUAUCAUCAUUAAAAGCAUGAAACAUGUUCUUCAUAUUUGCCGAUACAAUACUGCAUAAACCUUUUGGGAUUCCAUGGUUAAACUAUUUGUCACAAACCAUUUCCAAAGAUAUUCAUACAAAUAAAAUACUAGUAUUUUUGUAACAAUUCCAAAUAUUAAUUAAUGAUUAUUCGCUUAUAGUUGAUGAUGGUGAAGGCUAACAAUGGAGAGACGCUCCUACAUGCAAAACAUCAACAAAACUUGAAACAAAAGGAAGUCAAGCUAUUCCAACUAUUCCAGUUUCCCUUUGCUUCCCUUUUUGUAAUCUGUCACACCAUAGUUAAUAUCUUAGAAUGGUUCAAUUUGAAAUUAAACUACAUAUUUUUUGGCUUUACAUUGUUUUUAUUUAUACCUGUUCAACACUAUUUAUACCGGUUAAUUGUCAGCAGCCUGAAUUUGUUCCAAGCGGUGGCCACCGCACCCCUUUACCGGAGAGUCCUCGAGUUUCUAUGGAGUUUC